CCCGUCACACCAUGGGAGCUGACUCAACCAGAAGACGGUCAGGCUAACCUCGUAGCGUAAGCUACGGGGCGGGGCCUCCGGCGAAGGUGGGGUUGGUGACUGGGGUG
rnacentral:rRNA from 1 species